GACGAACGCUGGCGGCGCGCCUAACACAUGCAAGUCGAACGAGCGAGCGAGAGCUUGCUUUCUUGAGCGAGUGGCGAACGGGUGAGUAACGCGUGAGGAACCUGCCUCAAAGAGGGGGACAACAGUUGGAAACGACUGCUAAUACCGCAUAAGCCCACGACCCGGCAUCGGGUUGAGGGAAAAGGAGCAAUCCGCUUUGAGAUGGCCUCGCGUCCGAUUAGCUAGUUGGUGAGGUAACGGCCCACCAAGGCGACGAUCGGUAGCCGGACUGAGAGGUUGAACGGCCACAUUGGGACUGAGACACGGCCCAGACUCCUACGGGAGGCAGCAGUGGGGAAUAUUGCACAAUGGGGGAAACCCUGAUGCAGCGACGCCGCGUGGAGGAAGAAGGUCUUCGGAUUGUAAACUCCUGUUGUUGAGGAAGAUAAUGACGGUACUCAACAAGGAAGUGACGGCUAACUACGUG
rnacentral:rRNA from 1 species